AUGACACUACAUAUGUGCACACACCAUGCAACAAUUCAGCUGAUGGCUCAUAGUAUUCCUAUUUUCGAAAUAUCUAAUUUUAGUUGCUACUUCCAUCAUCUAAAUAAGGACUCUGAUGAGGACAUCAAUACCACUGUUACACCCACAGCCCCUAUUGCUAUACAUACUGGACCAAUUACUAGAGCUCGCGCGCACCAAUUAAAUUACCAGGUACUUUCGUUUCUUGGUAAUGAUUUUGAUGUUCAUGAGAAUAUGAUGCUGCCUAAAUUGGAUACAUUUGUCUUGCUUACAAAUGAAGGGCCUAGCUCGGGUAAGAAGGAUGAGAAUUGGAGCAAGAUCAAGCAUGGAGAUGAUGGCAUGCGCAAGCGGAACAAAAACGGAGUUACAAGUGAUAUUCCAAGACUUUGA
rnacentral:rRNA from 1 species